rnacentral:rRNA from 1 species
UACGGGGGGGGCAAGCGUUGUUCGGAAUUACUGGGCGUAAAGCGCGCGUAGGCGGCUUUUCAAGUCAGACGUGAAAGCCCCAGGCUUAACCUGGGAAUUGCGUUUGAUACUGUUAGGCUAGAGUGUGGAAGGGGCUACUGGAAUUCCGUGUGUAGCGGUGAAAUGCGUAGAUAUCGAGAGGAACACCUGAGGUGAAGACGGGUUGCUGGGCCGACACUGACGCUGACAGCGCGAAAGCCAGGGGAGCAAACGGG